UGUGGGCAGCAUCAGGGUCUGCCUUGCGGUGGGACCGCUUGGGUUUCAGAGCAGGGUCCCUGUUGUUUCCUGACAGACGAUCUGAAGCAUAGCUGGGUGGUAACACGGAGCUGCUCAGGGACUUUGUUUCCAACCGGGGUGCAUCUAAUCUUGUCCUGCAAAGGAAACAUGCAUGGGGUCACCAAAGGGCCUCUGGUGAAGGUGUGGGCACCAUCAGACCAAUUCUCUGGCCAGGCAAAGUGGGAGCCAGCAGUCUCUGCUCCGAACCUCAGUCCUUGAGGUUCAACUAGAGAUCGGUCUAGCUGACUUUCAAAGACCCUCCCCAAGUCCACAUUUAGGAGUAAGGAAUGGAAACACUUUUGUUUGGAAACUCCCAAGGAUAGGCUGUACUACCCUAGGGGAAAGAUCCCAGGGCUCACUCUCAGCUGAACGAAGCAGCCUCACCUCACUCCACUUGGACCCACAGGUUCUCUGGGGCCAUCUACUUCAUUUGCCAGAGGACCAACGGCCCCACUGGUGGGUCCCAACACAGGAAGGAUCCCUGGUCCAGGCCUGUAGAGGGGCUGGAGAGAAAGAGAGCCAGAGCUACCCUAUUUUCUUACUGUACAGACAGGGAUGCUGAAACUGAGCGGCAGAGCCAGGGUGGGGAACCCAGGCCCACUCCACAACCAUGAGCAGUCACCUGGCGAUUUCUGCUCAUUUCAGGAUGCAGACAACGUAGAGGCCAGAGGGCUUUUGAAGGCACAGUCCCCACCAAGCAGCAGGUAUAGGUACAGGUUUCAAGGAAUACACUGCCGAGCAAAGGGAAGGCACACAAAUACAGAUGAGGAAGAGGGGGAUGGAGAAGCUGGGUAGAGAUAACUUAGGGCAGUGAUCCAAGUCCUUUAUGAAGCCAGACCAGAAGGGAGCUGGCCUGGAAAACCUCAAAGAAGCCCUUAGGCUCUUUGUAUGGUACAGAGAAGGCUGGCAAGUCAGGCAGGUGGGAGCAAAGGGCAGAAGGACCCAUGUAAUAGACUGGGUGGGGAGCCGCUGCCAUCGCCAUGACCCGCGGUAACCAGCGUGAGCUCGCCCGCCAGAAGAAUAUGAAAAAGCAGAGCGACUCGGUUAAGGGAAAGCGCCAAGAUGACGGGCUUUCUGCUGCCGCCCGCAAGCAGAGGGACUCGGAGAUCAUGCAGCAGAAGCAGAAAAAGGCAAACGAGAAGGAGGAACCCAAGUAGCUUUGUGGCUUCGUGUCCAACCCUCUUGCCCUUCGCCUGUGUGCCUGGAGCCAGUCCCACCACGCUCGCGUUUCCUCCUGUAGUGCUCACAGGUCCCAGCACCGAUGGCAUUCCCUUUGCCCUGAGUCUGCAGCGGGUCCCUUUUGUGCUUCGUUCCCCUCAGGUAGCCUCUCUCCCCCUGGGCCACUCCUGGGGGUGAGGGGGUUACCUCUUCCCAGUGUUUUUUAUUCCUGUGGGGCUCACCCCAAAGUAUUAAAAGUAGCUUUGUAAUUCAAAAAAAAAAAAAA